GUGACUCUGUAAAUUCAAGGAAAUGAUACAUGGAGCAGUGUCAUCUAAAAUGAAAAGGGUCACAGUCAGAAAAGACAGUCUAUCCACACCAGAAGGUUCUCAUUCUGAAGAGAUAUGAAAGUGACCUGUGGGAUUUUUCUGAAGUGCUGCUGGCUGGGAACUGCUGGAGAAAGACUCACACUAACUGCAGCGUCGUCCGGCUCUGCCUCCCUUGCUGUACUGUCGUUCCAGUGGAACGUCUCUGUUCUCAGUUUCAGCGCAGGUAAACUAUCACAAACUGGGUGCUCGAGCAACAGGAUUUCAUCAGCAUCUCCCGGCUCUGGAGGCUGA
rnacentral:lncRNA from 1 species